ACAAAGAGAAAAGUUGUGGUCCUCAUCAUAUGUUAUCACUAAAGUAACUAAAAGAGUUUGCAUGUAUUUGUAUGAAGUUUCAAAUAACUUAAAACUUAUCAAUGGCUGAAAAACAUUACUGGAUACAUAAAAAAGGAUGAAACUUGUGUAGAUCAACCAGUUUGCUCUGCUAUCCUUGACUCUGCAGAAUGUGAGUCUCUGCAGUCACAAACUCAUUCCAUAGGCCAUACUAAUUUCAUGACUGAAUUAUUAGCCAAUUAUGCAUAUAGUGAUAUAGGUGAUGAAUUCUUCGUAUAUAAUCUUCUGAUGCUGCAUCUUAGCAGUGAAAUUUCACUAGACUUUGUCUUCAACUCCGUCCUAAAGUUCUCCAGCUGGCCAGCUUAAUCUAUAUCAUGAUCUGAUGAGAUUUCUUAAAGUCCAAGUUUACAAUACUAUCUACUUCUUCAGUGGGGGAUUGGGUCCUUUUGUUAAUGAUUUAUGAGCAAGAAGAGCACUACCUAGCUCUGUAGCAAAUUUGAUUUGGACGGGAACAGUGUUGAGUGGCUCUUGGAGGCUUGGAGCUUUUUGCUCAGUUACUGUAUGACGAUACCUACCCAUUAACUCAAAGUAUACUUCAUCUUCCCAGGAAUCUCUCUAGAAAAUGAGCAAGAGCUGCAUCAAGAUACUCCUUUACCACAGAAGGUUGGAAUGGAUCUUUGUCAACUAGUCGUCUUCAUAUGUAAAGUAGCUGGUAGAUUCUUCUCCACCUGCUUUUCCAUUCUCCUAGCGGUGGUCCAUAGUUUGGACUAGAGAUAAUAUACCUUACAACUGUGCUUUGGAGCACUGAAUUUUUUAUACAGCCACAUUAUUAUACUUUUUAGGCUAUGGAAGCAGGAACCUCAACUUUUAGCAGCAGGCCAACAAAAUGGAAUUUUUGGGUGGGCAUGAGAAAAAUCUUGGAUUCUAAAUGUGAUUAAUGAGAAGUUGAGAAUUGUAUCAAGUAAAUGGUAAAUACUAUGAUAAUGUUGCAAUUGACACCUUAGAUGUAAAAAUUGAUAAUUUUGGAGGGUGACUGUUGACAGAUACACAUACAUACUACACUAUUACAUAAGAAUAUACAAUUCUUAACAUCCUGUGACAAGUUUAGAGGGUGACUGUUAAUGGUGUAUCUUAUGUAUCAAUCAUUCAAACGACAUUUGGCAUGCUGUACCUAAUUAUUAGUCACAUUAUUCAUAUUGUUUGCAUUACAAUUUGGGGUGAUGAAUUUUUUGUUCAUAUGGUAAACUCCAUCCAGUGAGAUAAGGGCUUCUACUUGAUCGGUUAUCUUGUCGGUGAGUAGCAUCACUGCUACAUCCCCCAAGUCCUCACUUCAAAGAAUAAAAUGCUAGUAUUCUAAGUAUGUUGUUAGACCUCUCUUUUUUCUUUCUUUCUGUAAUAAUUUUUCCUUUUGUUUCUGUGCAUCCCUUCUAUUAUGACAAAGAUGUCAGAGUCUCAGGAAUAAUUAAGCUCAUUAUAUUGUGGCAGGACUAGACAUUAAUUUUAAAGGCGCGAGGAAAAGGUAUUCCAUUUCUUAUAUGGGAUGAGCCUAGUUAGUACUUAGUAGUGAGGUCAGCUAUCAGCAACUUAACCUCUGAAAUUUUCCAAGUACCUGAUGCUUUGUUUUGAGCUUAUUGUUUCUGAAACUAAGGUGAUUAUGUCAGGUAUAAGGAACAAUAUACUUCCAUCAGUACUUGUGAUUC